CCGCUUAAUACAUGUUGCAUGUCCCAAAGAACUCAUCAAAUAAAUCCCUGUAAAGCAUUUACUUAGUUCUUACGUUCCCUCACAGGUUGCAUCAUAUGGGUGACGUUAGGCAUGCACGCCCACAUAGGAAGAUACACGUGAUUUGCCAAAUAUGUUCUCAAUUCUUUUAUUAUUAUUAUUAUUUUAUCUAGUCAAGAUUUCAAUAACAUUGUAACCCUAUUAUUUCUUUCCUGUUGCUGUUGACCGUAUAAAAUUGAAAUUUGAAGAAGUCAAUGACUAAAAAAAUUGAAAAAAAACUAAGGGUUAGUUUGGAUAUCUAGACCUAAAAUCCUAUGAGAUUUCUAGAUUGGACCAAACAAUCACCUAAAUAAGACUAGAUUAGACCAUUAAUUGUAAGAUCCCCGAAAACCACAAAUGUGGGUUGGCUC
rnacentral:lncRNA from 1 species